CGAGGCUAAGCUUAAAACCCAAAGGACUUGACGGUACCCCACAUCCCCCUAGAGGAGCCUGUCCCAUAAUKGAUAACCCCCGCUAAACCUCACCACUCUUAGCCUAUCAGCCUGUAUACUUCCGUCGUCAGCUAACCACAUGAGUGAAACUCAGUAGGCCCAAUGGCAACCCACCAAAACGUCAGGUCAAAGUGCAGCAAAUAGAGUGGGAUCAGAUGGGCUACACUUUCUAAUAUAGAAAAUACGAAGAGAUUAUGUGAAACCUGAGUCAGAAGGGGGAUUUAAAAGUAAAAAGAAGUCAGAGAAUUCUUUUUAACCUGGGACUGGGGUGUGUACACACCGCCCGUCACCCUCA
rnacentral:rRNA from 1 species